rnacentral:rRNA from 1 species
AUUGAACGCUGGCGGCAUGCUUUACACAUGCAAGUCGAACGGCAGCACAGGGAGCUUGCUCCUGGGUGGCGAGUGGCGAACGGGUGAGUAAUGUAUCGGAACGUGCCUGGUAGUGGGGGAUAACUACUCGAAAGAGUGGCUAAUACCGCAUGAGAUCUUUGGAUGAAAGCGGGGGACCUUCGGGCCUCGUGCUACUGGAGCGGCCGAUAUCAGAUUAGGUUGUUGGUGGGGUAAAGGCCUACCAAGCCUGCGAUCUGUAGCUGGUCUGAGAGGACGACCAGCCACACUGGGACUGAGACACGGCCCAGACUCCUACGGGAGGCAGCAGUGGAGAAUUUUGGACAAUGGGCGCAAGCCUGAUCCAGCAAUGCCGCGUGCAGGACGAAGGCCUUCGGGUUGUAAACUGCUUUUGUACAGAACGAAAAGUCUCUGGCUAAUAUCUAGAGAUCAUGACGGUACUGUAAGAAUAAGCACCGGCUAACUACGUG